rnacentral:rRNA from 1 species
CGUCCUACGGGAGGCAGCAGGGGGGGAUAUUGCACAAUGGGGGAAACCCUGAUGCAGCGACGCCGCGUGAGCGAUGAAGUAUUUCGGUAUGUAAAGCUCUAUCAGCAGGGAAGAAAAUGACGGUACCUGACUAAGAAGCCCCGGCUAACUAAGUGCCAGCAGCCGCGGUAAUACGUAGGGGGCGAGCGUAAUCCGGAUUUACUGGGUGUAAAGGGAGCGUAGACGGCAGGGCA